rnacentral:lncRNA from 14 species
UGCUGUUUGCAGCCCCAGGUGCAGACUCUGCUGUGUGUUGACCCCCCCUCUCCCCGGGAGGGACAAGUGGGAGUCUAGCGUGUCCUGCCAUGAAAACGGAUCCACUUUAGAACAACAGGUUAAGCUCUCAACGUGAUUCCGAGAACCCCUGGAGGCUAAUGUGAAUAUAUCAUCUCACACAAG